AUUGAACGCUGGCGGCAUGCCUUACACAUGCAAGUCGAACGGUAACAGGUCUUCGGAUGCUGACGAGUGGCGAACGGGUGAGUAAUACAUCGGAACGUGCCUAGUAGUGGGGGAUAACUACUCGAAAGAGUGGCUAAUACCGCAUGAGAUCUACGGAUGAAAGCAGGGGAUCGCAAGACCUUGUGCUACUAGAGCGGCCGAUGGCAGAUUAGGUAGUUGGUGGGAUAAAAGCUUACCAAGCCGACGAUCUGUAGCUGGUCUGAGAGGACGAUCAGCCACACUGGGACUGGGACACGGCCCAGACUCCUACGGGAGGCAGCAGUGGGGAAUUUUGGACAAUGGGCGCAAGCCUGAUCCAGCAAUGCCGCGUGCAGGAUGAAGGCCUUCGGGUUGUAAACUGCUUUUGUACGGAACGAAAAGCCCUGGGUUAAUACCCUGGGGUCACGACGGUACCGUAAGAAUAAGCACCGGCUAACUACGUGCCAGCCGCCGCGGUAACAC
rnacentral:rRNA from 1 species